CCCUGCAUUCAAAAGUGACCCUAGGCAGCCUGAGCCCUUGUCAUUGAUAGUGCAGGAGAGACUUGCUGAAAGCGUUUCCCCGUGUUGAGGGUCACCCUGUCCUUCGACCCUGAAGCUUUCGUACA
rnacentral:snoRNA from 1 species